rnacentral:lncRNA from 1 species
AUAGUAGCGACCCUAGUGGAAUUUGGGGUAGCGUUGAUGGCGUGCUGACGGCUGUUAGCACGCCAUUUUGUGAACCGCAAGCGUAUGGAUCAUCGUAGCUUUUCCUUUAGAGUAUUCCAUCCAAGGUUUAUCAAUCUAUGGAUCGAUAACGAAUUGACUAGGGUUUUCUACCUAGCUCAACGGAUCUAAUCCUAACAUGAAGCAUAGAUUGCAUAUGAGAGAAAACUUAUGUAAAGAUUAAUAGCAUGAGUAAAAGUAGAUCUCAUUCACACACACACACACAUAUAUGAUAAUACCACCAAGGGUAGCAAGAGCCUAUCGUCUUCUAGUUGUAGUUCUAG